CUGGCUCAGGACGAACGCUGGCGGCGUGCCUAAUACAUGCAAGUCGAACGGUCUUUUCUAUGGAAGCUUGCUUCCACUGAGAAGAUAGUGGCGAACGGGUGAGUAACACGUGGGUAACCUGCCCAUAAGAGGGGGGAUAACAUCCGGAAACGGGUGCUAAUACCGCAUAGUUUUCUUGAUCGCAUGAUUGAGAAAGGAAAGACGGCCUUUGUGCUGUCGCUUAUGGAUGGACCCGCGGCGUAUUAGUUAGUUGGUGAGGUAACGGCUCACCAAGACGAUGAUACGUAGCCGACCUGAGAGGGUGAUCGGCCACAUUGGGACUGAGACACGGCCCAAACUCCUACGGGAGGCAGCAGUAGGGAAUCUUCCGCAAUGGACGAAAGUCUGACGGAGCAACGCCGCGUGAGUGAAGAAAGGUUUUCGGAUCGUAAAACUCUGUUGUCAGAGAAGAACAAGUUGGAGAGUAACUGCUCCAGCCUUGACGGUAUCUGACCAGAAAGCCACGGCUAACUACGUGCCAGCCGCAGC
rnacentral:rRNA from 1 species